AAAACUCCAUGAUGGAGGGGUGUUUCUCUGGGUUUGUCUGGGGACACCCAGAAACCCGGAUACGGCCAAUCCCCAUUCUAUUUAAGGGUUAAAUGCAUUGAGUUGUGAUUCCUAGAAGGGACAUGGUGAGUCCUCCCUAGUACUGUCCUCCACAAAGAAAAGUCCCUUCCUGUCCCUUUUCCCACCACCACCACCCUUAAAUCCUCCCGUGGGAAGUAGGACUUCAGCUCCUACGAGAGGAGCCUGGGCUGGGUCUCUCCCUUUCCGGAUGAGAUGGGCCUUGAAGUGUGAAGAGGCAGAAAGCAUUGGAACUCAUCCUGGAACAUUUACACCACGUUAAACAAUGAAUCUUGGAGAAAUAUUCCAUCAGAAAGGCAUAUCAAGACAUCAAGAUAUAAAAUAAAACAAAAAAAUACCGAUAAAUCUGCA
rnacentral:lncRNA from 1 species